UGACCUCCGAUCAGAUAAGGAUACCCGCUGAACUUAAGCAUAUCAAUAAGCGAAGGAAA
rnacentral:rRNA from 1 species